rnacentral:rRNA from 1 species
UACGUAGGCAGCGAGCGUUGUUCGGAGUUACUGGGCGUAAAGCGUGCGUAGGCGGUAGUGCAAGUCUGUUGUGAAAUCUCCCGGCUCAACCGGGAGGGUGCGGCGGAAACUGUGCUGCUGGAGUACGGGAGAGGCAGGCGGAAUUCCUGGUGUAGCGGUGAAAUGCGUAGAUAUCAGGAGGAACACCCGUGGUGUAGACGGCCUGCUGGACCGUGACUGACGCUGAGGCACGAAAGCGUGGGGAGCAAACAGG